rnacentral:rRNA from 1 species
AAUAUUGGACAAUGGUCGAAAGCCUGAUCUAGCCAUGCCGCUUUUGUGAAGAAUGUCUUCGGAUUGUAAAUCACUUUAAGUUGGGAGGAAGGGGUUGAAGCUAAUACCUUCAAUCUUUGACGUUACCAACAGAUUAAGCACCGGCUAACUCUGUGCCAGCAUCCCCGGUAAUACAGAUGGUGCAAGCGUUAAUCGGAAUUACUGGGCGUAAAGCGGGCGUAGGUGGUUCAGUAAGAUGGAAGUGAAAUCCCCGGGCUUAACCUGGGAACUGCUUUCAUAACUGCUGAGCUAGAGUACGGUAGAGGGUAGUGGAAUUUCCUGUGUAGCGGUGAAAUGCGUAGAUAUAGGAAGGAACACCAGUGGCGAAGGCGACUACCUGGACUGAUACUGACACUGAGGUGCGAAAGCGUGGGGAGCAAACAGG